rnacentral:rRNA from 1 species
UACGUAGGGUGCGAGCGUUGUCCGGAAUUAUUGGGCGUAAAGAGCUUGUAGGCGGUUUGUCGCGUCUGCUGUGAAAGCCCGGGGCUUAACUCCGGGUCUGCAGUGGGUACGGGCAGGCUAGAGUGUGGUAGGGGAGACUGGAAUUCCUGGUGUAGCGGUGAAAUGCGUAGAUAUCAGGAGGAACACCGAUGGCGAAGGCAGGUCUCUGGGCCAUAACUGACGCUGAGAAGCGAAAGCAUGGGGAGCGAACAGG